UAACAUCUGCUAACCAUGUGUAUGUGACCAAUAAAAUGUGAUUUGAUUUGAGGUAGCUGGCUACUAGCUUAGCCAGACUGAGAAGCCGCAUGGCUGACGUCGGCCAGCAUACGGUUCUGUGAAAACAGUGCCUCCGUGUUUGGCUACGGCCCAUAGGGGUACUACAUUGCUGGAGCUCCUUUGCCUAUUAAGGGCCAGGCUUCAGGCGGGAUAUACAGUAUCAGGCAGUCUCUGUCCACACCCCUCCCCAUAAGUGGCUUAAUAGUGGGAUUCAUUGCUGAUUCCUCCCUGUAGCUCACUGGUCCCUAUGAGGUGCUUAUUGAUAAUGGUCCCUAUGAGGUGCUUAUUGAUACUGGUCCCUAUGAGGUGCUUAUUGAUACUGGUCCCUAUGAGGUGCUUAUUGAUACUGGUCCCUAUGAGGUGCUUAUUGAUACUGGUCCCUAUGAGGUGCUUAUUGAUACUGGUCCCUAUGAGGUGCUUAUUGAUACUGGUCCCUAUGAGGUGCUUAUUGAUACUGGUCCCUAUGAGGUGCUUAUUGAUACUGGUCCCUAUGAGGUGCUUAUUGAUACUGGUCCCUAUGAGGUGCUUAUUGAUACUGGUCCCUAUGAGGUGCUUAUUGAUACUGGUCCCUAUGAGGUGCUUAUUGAUACUGGUCCCUAUGAGGUGCUUAUUGAUACUGGUCCCUAUGAGGUGCUUAUUGAUACUGGUCCCUAUGAGGUGCUUAUUGAUACUGGUCCCUAUGAGGUGCUUAUUGAUACUGGUCCCUAUGAGGUGCUUAUUGAUACUGGUCCCUAUGAGGUGCUUAUUGAUACUGGUCCCUAUGAGGUGCUUAUUGAUACUGGUCCCUAUGAGGUGCUUAUUGAUACUGGUCCCUAUGAGGUGCUUAUUGAUACUGGUCCCUAUGAGGUGCUUAUUGAUACAGGU